rnacentral:rRNA from 1 species
ACGCUCGACACCUACGGGGGCAGCAGUUGGGAAUAUUGGACAAUGGAGGAAACUCUGAUCCAGUGACGCCGCGUGAAGGAAGAAGGUCUUCGGAUUGUAAACUUAUUUUGUCAGGGAAGAAAAAUGACUGUACCUGAAGAAAAAGCACCGGCUAACUACGUGCCAGCAGCCGCGGUAAUCUGAGCGGGCUGGCAAGGC